rnacentral:rRNA from 1 species
UACGGAGGGAGCUAGCGUUGUUCGGAAUUACUGGGCGUAAAGCGCGCGUAGGCGGUUAUUCAAGUCAGAGGUGAAAGCCUGGAGCUCAACUCCAGAACUGCCUUUGAAACUAGAUAACUAGAAUCUUGGAGAGGCGAGUGGAAUUCCGAGUGUAGAGGUGAAAUUCGUAGAUAUUCGGAAGAACACCAGUGGCGAAGGCGACUCGCUGGACAAGUAUUGACGCUGAGGUGCGAAAGCGUGGGGAGCAAACAGG